GACGAACGCUGGCGGCGUGCUUAACACAUGCAAGUCGAACGGAAAGGCUCCAGCUUGCUGGAGUACUCGAGUGGCGAACGGGUGAGUAACACGUGGGUAAUCUGCCCUGCACUCUGGGAUAAGCCUGGGAAACUGGGUCUAAUACUGGAUAUGACCUUUCUCCUUAUGGGGUUUGGUGGAAAGUUUUUCGGUGUAGGAUGAGCCCGCGGCCUAUCAGCUUGUUGGUGGGGUGAUGGCCUACCAAGGCGACGACGGGUAGCCGGCCUGAGAGGGUGAUCGGCCACAUUGGGACUGAGAUACGGCCCAGACUCCUACGGGAGGCAGCAGUGGGGAAUAUUGCACAAUGGGCGGAAGCCUGAUGCAGCGACGCCGCGUGGGGGAUGACGGCCUUCGGGUUGUAAACCUCUUUCAGCAGGGACGAAGCGUAAGUGACGGUACCUGCAGAAGAAGCACCGGCUAACUAUGU
rnacentral:rRNA from 1 species